UACGUAGGGGGCAAGCGUUGUCCGGAAUCAUUGGGCGUAAAGAGCGUGUAGGCGGCUUGGUAAGUCCGCUGUGAAAGUCCAGGGCUCAACCCUGGAAAGCCGGUGGAAACUGUCAAGUUUGAGUCCGGAAGAGGCGAGUGGAAUUCCUGGUGUAGCGGUGAAAUGCGCAGAUAUCAGGAGGAACACCAAUGGCGAAGGCAGCUCGCUGGGACGGUACUGACGCUGAGACGCGAAAGCGUGGGGAGCAAACAGG
rnacentral:rRNA from 1 species